CCUACGGGGUGCAGCAGUGGGGAAUAUUGGUCAAUGGACGAAAGUCUGACCCAGCAAUGCCGCGUGCAGGAAGACGGCUCUAUGAGUUGUAAACUGCUUUUGUACAAGGGUAAACCUGAAUACGUGUAUUCAGCUGAACGUACUGUACGAAUGAGGCUCGGCUAACUCCGUGCCAGCAGCCGCGGUAAUACGGAGGAUCCAAGCGUUGUCCGGAUUUAUUGGGUGUAAAGGGUGCGUAGGCGGAUUGAUAAGUUAGAGGUGAAAUGUCCGAGCUUAACUCGGGAACUGCCUGUAAUACUGUUGAGCUAGAGAGUAGAUGCGGUAGGCGGAAUGCAUGGUGUAGCGGUGAAAUGCUUAGAGAUUAGACAGAACACCGAUUGCGAAGGCAGCUUACCAAUCUAUAUCUGACGUUGAGGCACGAAAGCGUGGGGAGCAAACAGGAUUAGAUACCCGUGUAGUC
rnacentral:rRNA from 1 species